CUCAGAGUGAACGCUGGCGGCAGGCCUAAUACAUGCAAGUCGAACGGCAGCACAGCAGAGCUUGCUCUGUGGGUGGCGAGUGGCGGACGGGUGAGGAAUACAUGGGAAUCUGCCCAGUCGUGGGGGAUAACGUAGGGAAACUUACGCUAAUACCGCAUGCGCCCUUCGGGGGAAAGCCGGGGACCUUCGGGCCUGGCGCGAUUGGAUGAGCCCAUGUCGGAUUAGCUAGUUGGCGGGGUAAUGGCCCACCAAGGCGACGAUCCGUAGCUGGUCUGAGAGGAUGAUCAGCCACACUGGAACUGAGACACGGUCCAGACUCCUACGGGAGGCAGCAGUAGGGAAUAUUGGACAAUGGGCGCAAGCCUGAUCCAGCCAUGCCGCGUGAGUGAAGAAGGCCCUCGGGUUGUAAAGCUCUUUUGUCCGGAAAGAAAAGCGCCGGGUUAAUACCCUAGUGUCCUGACGGUACCGGAAGAAUAAGCACCGGCUAACUUCGUG
rnacentral:rRNA from 1 species